rnacentral:misc_RNA from 1 species
GAUGAAGAACGCAGCGAAAUGCGAUAAGUAGUGUGAAUUGCAGAAUUCAGUGAAUCAUCGAAUCUUUGAACGCACAUUGCGCCCCUUGGUAUCCCGAGGGGCAUGCCUGUUCGAGCGUCAUUUCACCACUCAAGCCUGGCUUGGUGUUGGGCGACGUCCCCUUUAGGGACGCGCCUCGAAACGCUCGGCGGCGUGGCACCGGCUUUAAGCGUAGCAGAAUCUUUCGCUUUGGAAGUCGGGGCCCCGCCUGCCGGAAUACCUACUCGUAAGGUUGACCUCGGAUCAGGUAGGACUACCCGCUGAACUUAAGCAUAUCAAUAAGCGGAGGA